rnacentral:lncRNA from 12 species
AUGGGUGUUCUGGGAGUGCUCAGCUACGGAACACUGGGGUUUAUCCCAUUGACAUCUCUUCUUGCUUCAGCUCCCAUGCAGGUGCCCUGUCACCGGGGGCUAUUGAGGGGAAACUUGACUUUCCUAAGGGCAGAGGUGCAAACUUCAAGAGCACAGCCACAGCCCAGCACCAAGGAGGCCAAUUCUCUGCAGUUGCAGCUGGGCCAGCAGUUGGAUCGUGGUGACAACAGAGCCAGGCUCGACCUCUCCCCCACCAUCUGGAGCCUGGCAGCCAAGAUGGGUUCUGGGGACCAAAGGCCACUCUCCCAAGAGCUGGGUUUGGAUGCAUCCGUGGGCAUGACAAACCACACUCUCAAGCUGGAAGGUGAAACUGCUGAGGGCUCGGUGGCCAGUCAGUGUGAGUGUCAAGUCUUUGACCCCAUGAAGGCCCCAGGUGUCACGAAACACAAGAUUAUCAAGAGGAAACUGCAGUUCAUUCAGGGGCAACUUGCAUGCAGAUUUCCCGCCUUCAAGCUUAGGGCGCAGAGAUACCAAGUACCUCAGGAAAUAGGAGAAGAGAUUCCUCAUGUGAAUGAAAUCCUACCAUAGAACCCCAUCAUUUUCCACUUGAUGAAAAGAAAUCUAAAACAGUGCAGCAAGGAAAAGCCCCAACAGAGCACGGAAGGGAUCCUUUGCUGAGAAUCAACAUCACAACCACAAGCCACUCUGUGAUUUUGACUGCAAAACACGGUUUGACGAGAGAAAUUCUAGCCCUUCAGCCUCCACUCGUGAUAAAUCGCCAAGGAGACCAAUGCCUGACUGGAUCACGUGCAGGUUUGAGAGACCUUAAGUCUUGCUCCUCUCAAUUCCAUCCCGCGAUGAACCCGAGGACUCGGGAGCAACGUGGAAAAAGAGCACGUGUCAAACUGGACAUUCUGGGCCAACAGAUGGGCUGCGCUAGGAGCAGACAGCAUUAACUGUGCAGUGUUCCGGCCGCAAAGGGUUAGCCUGAAUUUGAGCACAAGGUAGGCAUCAGUCAACUUCAGGAUGUAGACCAUCGAACAAGACGCCUGUCUUUCUUCAAACAGUCAUUGUCACCACAAAUAAGAGACGACAAAAAGGAGAAGAGAUCUUUUGGGUUCCAAAGGACUAAAAAAGUGUGUCACUGUUUAGUCCUUUCAAGCCCAAGACAUCUCCUCACCUUUAGGUGGCUGUCUCUGGUGGUGGUGACAUUUCCUUGUUUGUAGGGGACAGGUCAGAUAUCCGUCUAAAUGGUCUACAUCCUGAAGUUGUCUGAUCCUGAUUAGGAUCAGGAAAUUAAAUUCCUCCUGAUUAAAUUCAGCCUAACCCUUUCGCCAGGGCACUCCAUAGUUAAGGCUCUGUGUGUCCCAGCUCAGCCCACCCGGAGACCGAGAGCGCCAGUUUGCCCGUCACCGUUCUUGCGAGAGCAGCAUGGGUCACGUGCUAUGGAGGGGCCCGUGAG